GGAGAAGCAGCGAUUGGUGCUGGGGCGGGCGGUGUUUUGAGUGCGCGCGCGCGCAGGCGGGAGCGCGUACGUCGGCAGCGCGGAAGUUAGGGUCUCGAGGAGGCUGCCACCGGCUGAUCCUUCCUCCGGCGGCCGCCCUCCGUGGCCAGUUGUCGGACUCCGGGAAGUAGGCGCUGAGGGCUCGCCCCCUGCGUAUGUGAGCGCUUCUGUCUCUCUGGCGGCUACGCACGGCUGUCGCUCUGGAGAGACUGAGGAGGAAACGGGGGUGGGAGGGGAUUGCGACUGCAGUGGGACGCGGGAGCGGCGGAAGCACCGCGCUGGAGCGGUCCGGUGGCGUCGCCGGGCUUCCUUGCCCUCCCUCCGCCCGGCCGGGCUGGCUCGGAUCCCCGGGUCGAGCGCGCUGCUGCGUCACACCAGGCAGCCAGGCCGCCACUGUUGAGCAUCUCCGGCCGCCUCCCACGCCCGGGCGAGUGCACGGCCCGAGCUCCCGAGCCGAAGCGAAAGAAUGCGAGCUCAGGUUGUUGACGUCCUGUGACGCUGCUGGAUUGCAUUUGUGGGUGACCGUUGCCUGGUUCAGAAAAGAACUUUCACCAUCUUUGCUUUCUAGGUCCCUCCCUGGAGGGCGGAUUAAAGGAUGCCGCGACGAAUCGCAAAAGAACAAAAGCUCUCCAGGGACGCUGCUGACCUCAUCACUGCCUCCCAUCUUUCCUAGUAGACGCUCAACAUCCUAGACACACAUCUCUUCAGGACACACCAGCUGCUGUCACUGAUGUGCUGAAACUGUCAACUCCAAGAGAAGGAGCAAAAGAAUGAUAAACAGUACAGUGUAUCUGGGCAUGAUGGCACAAGCCUGUAAUCCCAGCACUCUGGGAGGCUGAGGCAAGAGGAUCUAAGUUCAAGACCAGCCUCAGUGAGACCCUCUCUCAAAAUAAAAAAUACAAGAAAGGGCUGUGCAUGUAGCUCUACAGUAGUACAGAAAAUAAAUAAAUAUAAAUGUAUAAGUAUACAACAGCAGAUACAUAAACCAGUGACAUGGUCACUUGUUAUCACCAUCAAGCAUUAUGUACUGUAUCAUUGUAUGUGCUAGGCUUUCACAGGACAGGCAGCACUGUGAUUUUGUUUACGACAGCGUCAUUGUGCUACUGCUUUAUGGGGCCUCCCAUCUCACUGGGUGAUAGGGAGUUUUUGGCUCCAUUAAGAUCUGUGGGACCACUGCUGUAUUUGUAAUUCAUCAUUGCCCAAACUAUCACUGCGUGGGGCAUCACUGUAUAGAAGGCACACACAUGCACACACUCUCUUUGAACUGCCUGCAUUUUUCCUCUAAGCAGGACAUCUGUGUCAGAAUAUUCUCCCAAGUCACUACUGUGACAUUUUUAGUCAUUGUGUGGCCACAUUCUGCCAGGGAUUCAAAUACCAGGUCCUCAUUGACAAUGAGAUAGCUCUGAUCUAAUCCUCAAACUUUUAUCUAUCAUGGUUCAUAUGAGUUUGCACUAAACUAUGAAAUAAAUUUGUCCCAGCCUGGGCAAUUUAUGACUUAAUAAGACUUUGUCUCAAAAGAAAAAAAAUUUUUUAAACGGGCUGGGUAUGUAGCUCAGUGCCAAGGUUCUGGGUUCAAUCUCCAAUUUAAAAAAUAGUGUUUUAUUGUGUUAUUUUUUGGUCUUUGUGCCUCUGACUUCUUUCACAGAAUUAAAACCUUUAGAAUUUUAUCAGUGUUAGGACUGUCCUAGUAUUCUGUGUUAAUCUGUUUUUCAUUAGUAUAAUGAAGUAUCUGAGGCGAGCUAAUUUAUGAAGAAAAGUGUGUAAUUUAACUCAUAGUUCUGGAGGCUCCAGGGCCCACAUCAGGUUAUGGCCUUUUUGUUGGGAGAGGCCUGAGACAGCACAGAGCAUCCUAUAAUGAGAGACAAGAGCUUGCCCUUUGGCUUCUUUCUGCUUGUACAGCUGUGACUAUUGAAUCCUAGAGGUUCCACUGCAUAACUUUCUCUAAACUAAUUACCCCCUAAAGGCCUUACCUAUAGGCAUCAUAGUUGAAUUAAGUUUCCACCCUUUUAAUACCCCUCAAUGAGGAUGAAAUUUCAACACGCCAUCCCUGCCAUCCCCGUGGGUACUAAAACUACAUCUGAACCACAACACCCCCUUCUGAUAAUACCUGAAUUCAUGCUGAUGACCUAGGGUGGAGACCCAAGACAACCUUGGACCAGUUACCAGAAAGACUAAGUGAUUACAGAAGAAGAGUAUUGGAAAGACCAGCCCUACCCCAAACCUCCAGGAAGGGGGAGGGCUGGAUAUCAAGCUCUAUAAAAACUCUUAGACAACAAGAUUUCAAGAGCGCCUGGGUUGCUGAACACAGAACUGCUUCGAGGGUGGUGAACCUAGUGCGAAGUCCCAUACUCUCUCCACCAUCCCUCACCUUAUCCACUUCUUCAUCUGGUUGUUCAUCUGUGUGCUUCAAAGUACACUUUACAAUAAACCAUAAAUUAAAGUGUCUCUCAGAGUUCUGUGAGAUAGCCUAGCAAAUGGUUCAGAGUUCUCCAAGGGACAGAAUCAACAGGAUAGCUAUGUGGGAGAGAAUUUAUCAGGGGAUCAGGCUCAUUCCCUUUUGGAAGCUAAGAAAUGCCACCACAGGUUGGCAGCAGGCUGAAGAACUUGGGAUGUUGAUGGUGUGGCUCAAUCUAAAUUCAAAUGCCUUAGAACUAGUAAAGCUGGUAGUGUAGAGCUCGAGGACCCUGGGAGUUACUGGUGGAAAUUCUGAGAGUCCAAAGUCCAAGGCAGAAAUGAAUGUAUCAGAGCUCUCUGGGGGGAAACCAACUUACCUUCUGUAUUUGUUCUAUCCAAGGGCUGGGGAUGUAGCUCAAUGGCCCCACACCUGCCUGGCAAGCAAAGUCCUGAGUUCAAUAUCAAGUACAGGGAGUGGGGUGGGGUGGGGGGUAUUUGGCAGAGCUGGAUGUAUUCAUACCUAUAAUCUCAGCUACUUGAGAGGCUGAGCCAGGUGGACUGCAAGUUGGAGGGCAGCCUGGGCAAUUUGUUUAAAAAGGCUGGGGGAGUAGCUUAGUAGCUGUGUGCUUGCUAGUUUAGCAUAUCGGAGGCCUGGGGUGGGGGUGGAGGGCUAGGGGAUGAGAGAGAGAUUUGGUGUAUGUUUUUUAAACUUUAGGGAAAUAUUUUAUAUGAUAGGUUUUUCCUUGCUGCUUUUCAGAGGCAGUAUUGGUUAGAUCAACUGUUACUAAAUCUUUAUCUCUAUCUGUGAAUAUGACUUUAUGUUACUGGGAACUGAACCCAGAGCUUUGUGCAUGCUAGGAAGCAAUCUACCAGUUAACUACAUCACUGGCCUUUUUUAUUUCAUUUUUUGAGACAAGAUCUUCCUAAAUUGCCCUGGGACUUGUGAUGCUCUUGCCUCAGCCUCCAGAGUGGUAGGGGUUACAGGCUUGCACCACUGCACACCACUGAUCUUUAUGGCAUUUUAAGUACAUUAAUGUUUUGUGAGUACUACACUUACAUUUAAUGAGAUGAAUUCAUGUUGCCUAAUACGUUGCAUAUUAUUUCUUUGAAUCAUUUUCUUAAUCCAGUGACAGCCUUGAGCUUCUUCAUUAGCUGAAAAUUUUGCAAUGUUUCAUCAAACACACAUAAAUAUCGUGUUUUAAUAUACUUUCUCUUUUCUGAACAAAUAGGUAUUUGUUGGAGGCAAUCUUAUAAAUUAAUUUAAAAUAAACCCAUUGGUUUUUGGUUUAUUUCUUAUUUUUAUCAUAUAAUUAACAGGAGAGGGCAGUCAGAGACUACUGUUAAGAAUUCAAUGGCCUGCAUAUAUUUCAGAGGCCAAAAAGAAAUCCUAUAAUUCUGCUUUAAAAACACUUGCAUCAGUAACACAUGCUAUAUGUUAUUUAAACUCGUUUAUGGUGAAUCAUUUAUAUCUCUGAUGGAUCCCUUAUAACAUGGAGGUUCCCAGGAAGCCUGUCUAAUCUAGCAAAAAGUAAAUCUGAAGAGCUUACAUGAUGUGCUCAAGACUGAAUACCUGACCACUUGAAGUUAGAGUUUACUUUUGUCCUUCACACCCCCCUUUCCUGGAUAUGUAUCCAUGAAACAGGAACUAGCUGUGAAGUUCAUAGUGGAUUCAGAAGAGAUUUGAAGAGACAGUAUUGAAAAGGUCAGGUUUAUACUUCAGAAUUACUUAAUAAUUCAAAAAGUAAUUUAUCCGAAUUCACAAAUAAGCCUGAUGUCUUUUGCUGAUCUUAUUGUCUAGUUUUCAUGAACUAUAUUUCUCCUACUAGUAUGUUAGUAUUUUAUAGACAUCUUAAUUCUUUACAAAGGAUAUUUGAGACAAUCUAGCAACAUUUUUUAAAAGCAUAAAACUCUUAGGUUUGCUUUGUAAUAUAGCAAUAAGUUUGAGUGAUUUCUAAAAUUAUUACUUGUAGCACAGUAUGAUGACAUCU
ensembl:lncRNA